UGCUGAAGUAAGGUAAUUAAAGGUAAGUAAAUUGAUAUUUUUAAUUCAUCUUUAUUCAUCAUUUGCUAAGAAUAUUCAUUUACUUUCAAGAUGGUUGUGGAAAUGCCAAAUAUGAUAACAAGAGUAACAAACAAACCUUAAGUGAAUUGAUACAAGAAAGAAGAAUUAUAACUUUUUCAUAACACAAAUUAUUUAAGCAAUUUUGAUGGGGCAAAGGAAUAGAAUAAUAUUCAAUUCUGCAUUUUAUUUUACGAACGAUUGAACGAAAGAGAAAUACUAUUAGUUACAUACUGUGCUAGUGACCUAAUACAGUAGACAUGGGGUCAGUAAAUUCCCUAUGGGAUGAGAGCGAACGAAGCUCGAAUCCCCAUAUGGAAUUUACUGACCCCAUAUAUACCAUAUUACGUCACUAGCACACUAUUUAACGAAUUUAUCUUACCGACUCUCUUAACGUGUGAAAUUUAGACUAGUGACCUAUCAAAAUGAGCAGGUCUUCAAUACGGUUAGCAUUAAGAAACUUCUUCCAUUGAUCCUACAAAAACAGAUGCCAACAAUAACAACUUGUUAGGUUUAAAUGUGUUUUACGAAUUUAUUUCAAUCUUAAUCAUCAAUUUCUUCGAAACGUUUAAGAUUUUUUCUCAAUACCGUUUUUUUGUUUAUAAAUGGACGUAACACCACUACUAACCGUGUAUGAAAUAAGCCCCGCCUUCCUUUUAAUCUAAUAUGGAAUAUAAUAGGAAAUAUACACGAUCUCCACGCGGACUGUUUUAACCAAUUAUAUUCCUAGAAAUGCAUAGUAGGUAAGAUAAAUAUAAUUAUUUGAGAGGAUAUUGAUUACAGUAAUACUAUGUUGUGUUGCGAAUGUCCUUCUUUCAGAAAAAUGAAAGCAGUUGGGAGAUUUGGAAGAGUCACUGCUUUUGGAUUUGUUACGUAUACGGUUUUGGUUAUUUAUAUGAAUUUUCAAACAAAAGGUAAAACAUACUUUACUUUAUUUUGACAUGUUUGUAACUUUUAUUUCGAUAAAAUAUGGGACCUUUUUACACUGUUUUGUUAAAAUGUAAAUCUUCAACUGUUGGAAAGAAUCGAGAAUAAUAGCCUGAUGUCUGAGAGAUGCACAAUUGGAUAAGUGAUGUAAAAUAAGUGUUAUGUUUGGACCAAUGACAGUCAUUUGCACCAAAUUCAAAAGUCUAUAUUUGGGCUAAUCCCACCAUGUUCAUGUAAAUACGUGUAGGUAAUAAUCUAUUUUACUUUAUAGCCUAUAUUGUUUCUAGUUCUAAUGUUACAGCUCAUAAAAACUUUGAUAUUGUGAUACUGCCUGACGCUAACUGUAAACUCACUUUAAUAAGUUAGUGCUACACUUUUCUAUUUAACCAAGCGCGGAUUUUUCAAUGAUCAAAAUUUUGGUCAGUUGUAGGCUGCAUCUUGAUAAGUUCUUGCUUUUUAAAAAAAAUUUCAUAUAUUUCAUGCCAAAUUUUGAUAUCUACUAUUCAAUUUAACGGGUAGAACAAAAUUAUUCAGUCCAAAUUUAAAUUUUUGAGGAGGGGACUAUCUGAAAGUUAUCUAUUCAUCUAACAAAUUAAAAAACUAAUUUCACAUCUUUAAUAGUUGCAAUUUGUGUGUCAUUCAGUAUGUUUUUUGUUUUUUUUUAAAUACAUGCAUUUGUGAUAGACAAAGUGAUAAGGUAUAUCAACAUUUGUUGAAAGAUGUCCAAAUAUAAGUGCAUACCAUACAUUUUUCUGUAAAAUUUCAAAACCUUGAAUGAUGAAUAUAUAGUUCAUUUACGAAUAAAAAAAAACACUUUCAAUUGAAAGAAGUGAUUAAUUCCUGUUGUUUACCAUAAAAUAUGAAUGUUUAAAUUUACUUUGCAUUUUCACAUCAUCGUUUCAGAAACAAAUGUUGAAUGGCUUCUGAAAAAACACUUACGCAGUUUAAACCAUCAACAACACAAUGAUGUGUUG
rnacentral:lncRNA from 1 species